UCGAGCGGUAACACAGUAGAUCUUGCCCUCUCGUGACGACUGACGGAUGGGUGAUUCAUGUCUGGGAAACUGCCUGAGGGAGGGGGAUAUCUACUGGGAACGGUAGCUAAUACCACAUAAUGUCGCAAAACCAAAGAGGGGGACCUUCCGGCCUCUUGCCAUCGAAUGUGCCCCGAUGGGAUUAGCUGGUGGGUGGGGUAACGGCUCACGUAAGCAACUAUCCCUAGCUGGUCUGAAAGGAUGACCACCCACACUGGAACUGACACACCAUCCUCACUCCUACGGGAGGCAUGGGUGGGGAAUAUUGCACAAUGGGCGCCUGCCUGAUGCAUCCAUGCCGUGUGUAUGAAGAAGGCCUUCUGGUUGUAAAUUACUUUCAGCGGGAAGGAACGUGUUUUGGUUCAUAACCAUAGCGAUUGUUAUUACCCGAAUAAGAACCACCGGCUAACUCCGUGCCAGCCGCCGCGGUAAUACGGAUGGUGCAAUUAUUAAUCUUAAUUACUGGGCGUAAACCCCACGCAGGCGGUCUGUCAAGUCUGAUGUAAAAUCCCCGCGGCUCAACCUGAAUAACUGCAUUCAAAACUGGCAGGCUGUGUCUUGUAGGAUGGUGGUAAAAUUCCAUGUGUAGCUGAAAAAUGCGUAGAGAUCUGGAAGAAUACCGGUGGCGAACGCCGCCCCCUGGAAAACACUGACUCUCGUGUGAGAGCGCGUGGAGAGCACACGAUUAUUAUAUACUGUGGUACUCCGCCGCUAUACAAUAUCUCCUUUUCGAUGGUGGCGCUCUUUGGCGCUUGUCGUCCCAGAUCUAACGCUAUAUAUCCACCGUCUGGGAGAGUAGUGCACGACGUUAACUCUCAUGUGAAUGUCGACGGGGCGCCCGCA
rnacentral:rRNA from 1 species